rnacentral:lncRNA from 1 species
CCAUUAAUUUGUUAUACAGUAGCUAAAAUUGGAAAAAAAAUUGUCCACUCUAACCCACUUUCUUGACUUUCAACCGAAAGGCUUUGUUCCUCUAUCCAUGAAUUUCCUCUUCCUCUUCUCAUGGUCUUCACUUGCUAAUAAAAAAGGAGAGCUAUAUAUGCUUAUGUUAUCUCUUCUUCUAUUGUAGUUUUAAAAAAAGAAAAGUGGAGAUUGUUCUAUGAUAAAGUCUCUAAAAUUUCUCAAGGUAGUUUCCUCUAUUUUAUAGUAUUCUCUAUAUCAUCAUUUGGCCAGUAACGCUUACUAAUUCUUCUACACAGAGGUUAUGCCGGGCUUCCUUUUUUCCACCACCAACAUCGGUGCACAUGAGGUGAUAAAGUGGGUGUAUUUCUCCUGUUCUUUUGUUUAGGCCUUUAUUUUCCAUAGUUUGGUUGCCCGGUCUAUGUGAUUAUCCUCCGGAGAAAUGUUUUUGCUAAAGUUCUCUCUUGAAUAUCUCGCUUUUGGCCAUGGGCUCGAGGAGUCUGGAAACGUUCAUCAGAGUCGCUUUUCUUUUGGGCAUGGGCUCAAGGAGUCUGGACAACCAAGUUUAAUCCUUUUUUCAACUGAUCUUUAUUUUGUUGAAUGUCUCUAGCAAAUAUUUGUGUUAUACACUAAAAUGUAUUAUUGCCUUUUAAGGUGGCUUUUUCUUUCCACCUCAUUUAUCACAUACAUUCAAUAGAUGAUUUUACCUUUUUUUUUCUCUUUUUUUUUUCAAUUUACCUAAUUCAAUAUGUAUUAUUAGGUUCUCUAUACUGAGCUGAGGAACAUUAUGGUUUGUUAUCUAACAUUCGGCAGUUAGUUAAGAUACUUUCUGUCAUACUCUUUGUUCUUUAAUAGUUAUCAAGAAAUUGGGGGCCUUUUACAACAGGUAUGUGUUUUGUUUGUCCACUGCAACUAUGUAUUAUCAGGAAUUUGUAUUUAAUUAUAUGCUUUUGGUAUUAUGUUAAAUAUGUUCUAAGUGAUAUGAAAUAGGACUCUACUUCUUCUAAAUUUUCAAGUCUCAACUUGUGCUCUGAUUAUUAAAACCAUUGACAUUCAUGUAUUUGCUAAUAAUUGGGUGUUCGAUUUUAGUUUGCGAAGUUGCGUAUCUGUUAGUUUCAAUGAAUUCAUUUGAAUGAAGACAAUAAUUAAUGAUUUGCAUUUGAUGCUUGCUAAUAAUCAGUGGUUUAUUCCACUGGGGCAAAUCUUGCUUUAUUUUUUUUAAUCUUUAACCCCUUUUUAAAAACUAGAAGUGAGAUUUUUUGUCCUUGAUAGGUUUACCUUCCAAUAUGUAAGUUGUUGACUGGAAUUGUUUACAACCUAGAGGGGCUUGACUUUGAUGAUAAUUUCAUGGGAUGCUUGACUUCAAAAAAUUAAUGAUAAAUCUCAUUUGAUGCUUGUGAAAUGAAUGGUGGAAUUUUCCCUUUCUAUAAGGCAGAAGUGUUGUUUGGAUUUAAGCAUUUUGUCUUCUAUUAUUUUCUUAAAUAUGCUUUUAGUACUUCUGGUAAUAAAAGCGUUUCACUCAUUUGCACUUUAGAUGGUUAGGUACUGUUAUUUUUCUGGUGGUGACUUUCUUUUAACUGGCAAAAUGAUACGAAUCUUAGGAGCUGCCCAAAAGCUAUUACGUGGCCCAUUGACGAGUCGUUGGGGUCCAAUGAAGAGAGCCAAAGCCAAGCAUUCAAAGUUCAAGAAUUUCAUCUGCAACGCGUCGGACUGAUUCAGUUGUUUUAGCAGUUUCCGUUAUUUCCAAUUAUUUCCUAGUUUUAUUGCUUCCAAUUGGGUCUUGUAAGCCUACUAAGGCAUAUCUAGUAUGUUAGGGCAAUUAGUUAUGUUUUGGUGAAGUCUUCCAAUUCAAUUAGGAAACUUACCUCUUUCGCGUAGGCUUAGGUUCAGUUGUUUUGUAAGCCUAUAAAAGGCUGCUCAAUUCCAUAGAGAAGGGACUUUUUGGAUUUUCAGAAAUUAAGAGAGUUUCUCUAACUUCUUGUGAGCAGCCUUGAGCACCUUUAGAGGAUCUAAAGUUUUCGUUGACUUUAUCAAUCAGGAAACACGCCUGAUUGUGGUGUCUUCUACCGUUCGAAACUAUCUCGCGCUGCCCUUGAUAGUCUAGGACUCCGCUUACCCCAAACUCAUUACCUUGGUCUUGGGCUUGUGGUUCGAAUUCUGGCGUCCUCGGAUCCGAGUUUGUAUCAGUUGGUAUCAGAGCAUAGGUUAAGGUAUCAAGUUAUAUCCCUUUUAUUUUGUUCUUGUCGUAUUUGUUUAGAGUUUAUUAUUAGGGUUUUCUUCUUAAAUUCUUUUGUGUUGUCGGUCUGCCGCAGUUUGUGCUGCUAGUUGUCAGUUAAUCGUGUCUUUGUGUUUGGGUUUGGAAAAAAAAAACUCGAAAUCACUAUUCACGGCACUGUAGCGCCGUCACUGUUCACGGGUACUGUAGCACGGUUUUUGUAGCCGUACUGUUCACACGAUACUGUAGCAGCUACUGUUCAUCCGUUUCUUUUAAUUACAAGAAAAAAAAAUUUUGUGAAUUUUUGAGUCCUUGAAAUCACCAAAAAAAACAAAAAAGGGAGCCUAGCUGCACUUGCGUGAAUUAUUGGUAGUUGAUUGCUCAUCUAAGGUCAUUCUAAAUUUCCUCAAGGUGGGUGAUCAAGAGCUUUGAGAAAUUGGUGAGAAUUACUGGCACGUCCCAAUUUGAGUGACAUACACGAGUGUGAGAGAAAAUUGUGAAGGAGUGAAGUGAGGUUCUUUGUUUGUCAUUGAUCUCCCGCAGGUUUAAAACAUGUCAAACGAAGGUGAAUCCCAACCUUUUGAUUUAAGACUUCAAAUGGAGGAUAUGAUGGAAGAAUUCAGACGCAUGCUUAGAAACUCCAUUGAACCAUUGCACGAACGGAUGGAACAAUUGGAGUCAUCCAAAAAUCGAGCUAGUUCGAGCAGAGGAAGGUCGAGGCAAGUUGAGUCGGAUGCGUCUAAUAGUGAGGAUGGUGAGUUUGAUCUACAACCAAGGGUUGCCCGAGGAAGGAGAAACGGCGGGAAUGAAUCCAUCAAGGGAGUUAAGCUCAACAUCCCAUCAUUCCAGGGUAAGUCCGAUCCUGAGACAUACCUUGAAUGGGAACACAAAAUUGAGCUUGUUUCCGAGUGCAAUAACUAUUCAGAGCAGCAAAAGGUGAAACUUGCCGCCGUUGAAUUCACAAAUUAUGCAUCCGUAUGGUGGGAUCAACUUCGAACUAGUCGGAGGAAAAAUGGUGAGCGAGCAGUAGAAACUUGGGGAGAACUUAAAGGAAUCAUGAGGAGACGAUUUGUCCCAAGCUACUAUCAUAGGGAGUUACACCAACGGCUACAAACUCUCACUCAGGGCGACAAGAGUGUGGAGGACUAUUUCAAAGACAUGGAGAUGCUCAUGAUGAGAGCUGAUGUGAAUGAGGAUGCUGAAACCACUAUGGCACAAUUCCUCAAUGGCCUAAAAUCCAAUAUUGCUGAGAUAGUUGAACUCCAACAUUACAUGGAUAUGAGUGAAAUGUUGGAUAAGGCUGUGAAAGUUGAAAGGUGAAUCAAGAGGAGGGGUACCACUAGAUCUUCGUCCCAUGUAACUCCUUCAAGUUGGAGCACCAAUCCCGGACCUAAAGAGGAAAAACCUGCAAACUCAACUUCUCCACUCAAGCCUAAAGGGGACAUAGUUGGAUUGGGUACAAGUAAAGGAGCGCCAACCCCAUUCAAUGGUGCUUCUAACUCGCGCAAUCGGGAUUGAAAAUGCUUCAAGUGCCAGGGGUAUGGUCAUAUACAAUCCCAAUGCUCUAAUCAACGCAUUAUGGUUAUAAGGGACAAUGGUGAAGUAGCCACAAAUGAUGAGUCUGAUUAUGCAGGGAUGCCGCUUUUGACGGGUGAUGGGGACUCGGAGGAAGAGAUUGCACCGCUACCUGGGAAUGUAGGGUGUUUGGUUGCUCGUAGGACGUUAACCAUGCUUGCUAAGGAGGACGAGGGGUCUCAAUGGGAGAACAUCUUUUACACCCAUUGCAAAGUUAAGGAUAGGAUUUGCAACUUAAUUAUAGAUGGGGGAAGUUGCACCAAUGUUGCGAGUUUACUCAUGGUAGAAAAUUUGGCUCUCCCAACCAAGAAACAUCCUCGACCUUAUCGACUGUAAUGGUUGACAGCUGAUGGGGAUGUGCGAGUGUAUAGACAAGUAUCGAUGCCUAUUUGCAUAGGGAAGUAUGAGGAUGAGGUGAUCUGUGACGUUGUUCCCAUGCAAGCCACUCACAUUAUUUUGGGACGACCAUGGCAAUACGAUAAGGAUGUAUCCUUUGAAGGUCGAACUAAUAAGUAUUCUUUUAUCCAUGAUGGUAGGAAGAUUACUUUAGUCCCUUUAUCCCCCAACCAAGUUUGUGAAGAUCUAGAGAAGUUGAGGACGGAGAGUGCGCAUGAAGAUGCAAGGAAAAAGGAAAAUCGAGUUGCUAGCCAUGAGAGAAAGCAAAAUCUCUUGAUGCGCUUUACACCUGAGGGCAAUGCUUCGCGCCCCUCACCUCUAACAUUUGUUUUGUUUAGCGUCCACUCUUUUGUACAGGUUGAGCAAGGGGCAAAAGUUUUGGUCCUGCAAUGUUCUAUGCCUCCUUCCAUUGGAGCUUAUAACCGAAGUGCUGUUAGCCCGCGCUACCAAUUCUUGCGUUUCCACGAUUUGAGGACAAAUCUUUUUAAGAGGAGGGGAAUGAUACGAAUCUUAGGAGCUGCCCAAAAGCUAUUACGUGGCCCAUUGAGGGGUCGUUGGGGUCCAAUGAAGAGAGCCAAAGCCAAGCAUUCAAAGUUCAAGGAUUUCGUGUGCAACGCGUCGGACUGAUUCAGUUGUUUUAGCAGUUUCCGUUAUUUCCAAUUAUUUCCUAGUUUUAUUGCUUCCAAUUGGGUCUUGUAAGCCUACUAAGGCACAUCUAGUAUAUUAGGGUAAUUAGUUAUGUUUUGGUGAAGUCUUUCAAUUCAAUUAGGAAACUUACCUCUUUCGCGUAGGUUUAGGUUCAGUUGUUUUGUAAGCCUAUAAAAGGCUGCUCAAUUCCAUAAAGAAGGGACUUUUUGGAUUCUCUAGCUUCUUGUGAGCACCCUUGAGCACCUUUAGAGGAUCUAAAGUGUUUGUCGACUUUAUCAAUCAGGGAACACGCCUGAUUGUGGUGUCUUCUACCGUUCGAAACUAUCUCG